rnacentral:lncRNA from 1 species
CACAAAUGGUGAAGGGGUGCAUCUAGAACACAACUGACAAAAAAUAAUGUACAACUGAAAUUUCACAAGAUUGUAACCUAUCAUUAACUCAAUAAAAAUUUUAAAAGAAAAAAAGGAAUUUUAACAUUCACUUCUAAUUCCUUGCCUUAACACUCUAAGUAUAUUUUUUCUUGAUAUUUCCUUUCAAUCAUUUAUCACAUAUAUGCAUAGCUUCUAUAGUUUUAAUAAUAAUGCAAAAGAAAUAUAUAUAUAUAUUUUUCUUUCUUUUGCAGGAGAAGAUUCACCCCAAGCUAACAUCUGUUGCUAAUCUUUCUCCUUUUUUCUUCCUUUUUACCCCCAAAGCCCCGGUACAUAGUCGUGUAGUUGUAAAUUCUUCUGGUUCUUCUCUGUGAGCCGCUGCCACAGCAUGGCAACUGACAGAUGAGUGGUGUGGUUCUGUGCCCAGGAACCGAACCCGGGCCGCUGAAGCAGAGCAUGCAGAACUUUAACCACUAGACCUUCAGGGCUGCCUCAAAAUGUUCUUUUUUUAAAUAAUAAUUUUUAAAAAUAAUUUCAUCAUCUGUACAAUUUUAAUUGCUGCAGACUUCAUUAAUUUGAUAUAUCAACAUUUAAUUAUGUUCAGCAUUCAGUUUAUUCACAUAUUGUUCUUUUUGUAUGUAUUUUGUCACUGAAUAUCUGUCGUGGGUUUAAUUGUGUCCCUCCAAAAAUUUCUAUGUUGAAGUCCUAACUCCCAGUGCCUCAGAAUGUGACCUUACUUGGAAAUAACGUUGUUGCAGAUAUAAUUAGUUAAAAUGAGGUCAUUAGGCUCAAUAUGACUGAUAUUUUUAUUAAAAAGGGAAAUUCAGACACAGAUACACACACAGGAAGAGCACCACGUGAAGAUGAAGGGAGAAAUGGGAGUGAUGCUUGUGCAAGCCAAGAGCUGUCAAAGAUUGCCAGCAAACCACCAGAAGCCAGAGGAGAGGCAUGGAGCAGACUCUGACAGCCCUCAGAAGGAACCCACCCUGGCAGACACCUUGAUUUCAGACUUCUAGCCUCCAGAACUGUGAGACAGGAAAUUUCUGUUGUUAGAGCUGCCCAGUCUGUGAUACUUAAGCUCUACCAGAUUAAUACAACGUCACUGAAAUACUCUGUGGGGCUGAAAAUGGGCAAAAUAUGAGGAAAGAAUUUAUAAGAUGCUAUCAUCAUCAAAAAAAUAAUAUCUACCUAUAGUAACCAGAACAGCAUGGUACUGGCACGAAAACAGACACACAGAUCAAUGGAACAGAAUCAAGAGUCCAGAAAUAAAUCCACACAUCUAUGGACAGCACCAAAAGUCCACAUUCCAUUUCAAAGAACAGAAGAGAAAAGGAUUUUUUUCUGUCAGUGCCUUUUUUAUGCCACUGACAGUAAAGACUAGAAGCAUCCCUUUGCAGUGUUCCUGUUUUCCAGUGCCAUCCCCCCUUGACUUGUGCGCAAAAGAUAGCAGAUGCUUUGGGUGUUUGCAGCACACCUGGUUUUUAUGCUAAGAAAAUGUGUAAUUUGGACUAUCAAUGACAGGACUCAGGACCCCAGAAACUCAAGCUGCCUAACAAACAGUAAGUGGAAAAGGAUGAAACCUAACUCCAGUUCCCAUGGGACCAAGCUUGUCUCCUCAACAUUUCCAAGUGCUGGUUUCCUUAUAUUUCAGAGGCAUCUUUUAAAGACGGAUUCUUGCGUUUAUGAAAUCUGAGAAUCUUUUAUAUUUAUUUAUUCUGUUACAUUUAUUGUAAUUAUUGAUAACGAGUCUUUUUCUAACAUGUUAGUGUUUUCCACUUAAGAUUUCUUUCCUAAAUUCAUUAGUUUCCAUAUCCAUUUUUUAAAUUGAUCGAGCUUUAUUUUAUUUUGCUUCUUUUGUUGGUUUGGUUGUAAUUAUAUUUUGUUGUUUUAACAGGGUACUCUGUCAUGCAUACUUGAAUUAAAUUGGCUCUAGCUGAAUAUUAGUAUCUCAUGGACUUCACAUGAGAACAACACAUAGACUUUAGAAUGAUUUACUAUUGGCUUUAAAUUCUUAAGUCAACAAUUAUAUUGCUUCCCCAACUGAAAGUCAUUUUUCCUCUUAAUUCUAUCUAUUACUGCUGACGAUGUAUAUAAUAUGUCUAGUCUCUUGUUUUAUUUUUGGUUUCUCUUUGUAUUUAGUGUUCUGCAGUUUGUCUAUCAUAUGUUUGAGUGCUAAUUCCUUUCUAGCUAUAUGGCUUGGGAAUCAAUCUGAUAUUUUGGUGUGAUAUUCAGGGUUUAUUUUUCCUGAAUUCUAUAAGAAAUCAUUGUCUCUUGAGUACUUCCUUUUCCUCAUUCUCCCUAUGCUCUCCUUUUGUAACUCUUCACAGAUACUUUAAACUUCUAUAUUCUGCCUUUUCUCUAUUUUAAAAAAUUAUCACCUUUCAUAUGUUUGAAUUGGAUAGUAGGUUUUUUUCUCUAGAUCAAUAUUCUAAUCCAUCAGUUAUGUCUUCAGCAAGAUCUAAUCUGUGGUUUAAGAUUUUCAUCGUUGUUUCUUUAUCUUGGAAAUUUGAUUAGUUGUAUUUUCUAAAGCACUCUUCCUUUAUUGUAUAUAUUAUUUUUAUCUCUUUCAUCAUGGCAAAUAUUCCUUUAACCAUUGUGAAAUGCUUUUUUGCAUUUAUUGAGAUUAUCAUACAGAUUUUCUUUGCUAGAUUGUUAAUGUGGUGAAUUAUAUUGCUUGAUUUUCAGAUGUUAAACCAUAUUUUAUGGGAAAACUCCCCUGCCUUCAUGUGAUGUAUUAUUCUUUUACCAUAGUUUAACUUAAUUUGCUAAUAUUUGAUUAAGAGUUUUGUGUCUAUUUCUAGGGACAUUGUGGUCUGUGAGUUUCUUCUAUUGUAAUGAUUUUCUGGUUUUAGUACCAGGGUAAUACUGGCAUCAUAAAAUGAGUUAAGAUGUUUUUCCUCCCCUUCUACUCUCUAGAAGGGCUUAUGCAGAACUGACGUUAUUUUUUCUUUAUCCUUUUGGUCAAACUUGCCAAUGGAGCCAUCUGAGUUUGAAGUUUGCUUCAAGGGAAGAUUUUUAACCAUGAAUAUAAUUUUUAGAUACAUACGGCGUUCUAGAUAUUAUAAAUUUCUUCAUGAUUAGG